rnacentral:rRNA from 1 species
UUCCAGACUCCUACGGGAGGCAGCAGUGGGGAAUAUUGCACAAUGGGGGAAACCCUGAUGCAGCGACGCCGCGUGAGCGAUGAAGUAUUUCGGUAUGUAAAGCUCUAUCAGCAGGGAAGAAGAUGACGGUACCUGACUAAGAAGCCCCGGCUAACUACGUGCCAGCAGCCGCGGUAAUACGUAGGGGGCAAGCGUUAUCCGGAUUUACUGGGUGUAAAGGGAGCGUAGACGGCGAUGCAAGCCAGAUGUGAAAGCCCGGGGCUCAACCCCGGGACUGCAUUUGGAACUGUGUGGCUGGAGUGUCGGAGAGGCAGGCGGAAUUCCUAGUGUAGCGGUGAAAUGCGUAGAUAUUAGGAGGAACACCAGUGGCGAAGGCGGCCUGCUGGACGAUGACUGACGUUGAGGCUCGAAAGCGUGGGGAGCAAACAGGAUUAGAUACCCCCGUACUC